AGGCGGCCCUGGCCGGUCAGUCUGACUUCUAAUACUUGGCAUAGAAUAAAGCUUUACAUUACUUUCAUUUUGUUUCAGCCUCAUUUCCCUGGCCGGUCAGUCUAACUUCUAAUGCUUGGCAUAGAAUAAGGCUUUGUGUAACUUUGUCUCAGUCUCAUUCCAUUGAUAACGGACCCAACAUAUGCGGGCUCAUCCAGGAUCAAACAACGAGAACUGAGCCAGCAUCAGAAUUUCUGGGAAAAGCCUCCAGAGUGUUGCAUUUUAUUCACCACCCUGGAGACCAAGACUGUAGAGAUUAAGGCAAACUGCUAGAGUGAAGGCACAUACCAAAGGGCCACCGUUGGGGUUACAAGGAAGAAUCCCAGGGCACAGCUGGACGCCCCGUCCCGCCCCCCCCCCCCCCACGACACGCAGCAUUCUGCAGCAGCCGCCCUGUUGGUUUCAUUACAUAAAAUACAGAAAAUUCAUAUGGCAGACUUCCAGGACAAAUACAGUUCUUUGAUAUGUUGAAAUCCUGAAACUGAAAUGGAUAAAAAUUUCCAAAACUAACUAAAACUACAUUCAAACUAAACCAGAAUUAGUAACAUGGGACCUCAAGCCCUGGCGAAUGAAGGACUACUGCCCCAGGGAACCCCCUGACUGGAACCCAAACUCUGAUAAAGGUAAGGAGAGUCUAUGUUUCUACCACCAGACCCUGCUGGGAGGCCUCCAUGUGACUGCAAGGAGACCCAUAAAUUUAUCUAAAAUUAGUGUGGUGACUCAAGAUAAGGAUGAGUCUCCAGGGGCUUUUCUAGAAAGGAUUAUAGAAGCCUAUAAAAUAUAUAGCCUGAUUGACCCUGAGGCACCCAAAAAUCAAAGGGCAAUAAACUUUGCCUUUGCCAAUCAGUCAGCCCCAGAUAUAAGGAGAAAACUUCAGAAAAUUGAAGGAUUUAAAGGAAAGAAUCUGACUGAGUUCAUGGGAAUAGCAGAAAAGGUGUUUAACAACAGAGAUACACAAGAAGAUGAAAAACAGACUAGAAAAAUAGUUAAAGUUUUGGCAUUAUAUGAGACGGGGAAAAAACAAAGGAAAAGAGGUCCAACGAAAAGGAAAAAGACAAGUAAAAAAUGGUCAAUGGAAAGAAAAGCCUCAGUAUAGAAAAACAACAACAACAACUUAUGAGAAGAAUUAGCUUCAGAUCAGUAUACUUACUGCAAGGAAAGAGGACACUGGGCCAAGGAGUGCCCCAAAAAGAAGAUGGCAAUGCUGGCCAGCAGAGACUAAAGGGACCAUGGUUCAGAGCCCCUCCCCAAAUCUCGGGUAAAAACUCAGGUGGAGGGGAAAUCAAUUGAUUUUUUGAUGGACAUGGGAGCCCAAUUUUUAUCAUUACUAGAGCCUAUGAAAAAAUGAUCUGAAGAGAAAGUUUGGGUACAUGGGGAAAAUGGCACAAAAGGACAUAAAUAAACAACAGAAAGGACCUUAAAUUUGGCCUACAGCUGUUCGCAUCAGUUCUCCCUCCCCUGGGAAGCAAAGGAAUGGAUCUCCAUAGAACACACCUUUGCUUCUCGUCAAAAGGCCGAAACUGGGGAGUACUGACCCAUUCAGGACUUGCGGGAAGUUAACAAAUGGAUUAAAGAUAUCCACUCGAUGGUGCCUAACCCCCUAUACCCUACUCUCCCUCCUGAGCCCCAAGAGAACCAUGUAUACUGUCUUCGAUCUCAAGAAUACAAGAGAGUCUUCUCAACCCCUCUUUGCUUUUGAGUGGUCCAACCCACAGAAAGUGUUCCAAGGCCAGCUCACAUGGACAAGAACAAACGCCCAAGUGAUGGGGUAUCAGGCCCUCCUCCUCAACAAACCAAAAGUGACUUUCUGGUCCCCAGUGGUGCUAAAUCCAGCCAUGUUGCUGCCAGAGAAGCUGACUGACCACAGUACUUGCUAAUAGCCACUGAGGACUAUAAGUCAUGCUUGCGGGGACAAGCCACUUAUUUAACUUUGAUCUCCAAGAAGGAGUGUGUUCACCUUCUGAGUCCAGGAAACAGGUAACAACUGAUACCCCCACCCCACCCACACUACUGCGGGGAGGUCCUAACCCAGGUCACAGGAAUAAGGCCGGAUCUCAGAGACACUCCCCUCCUGAAUGUGGAGAUGACUUUGUUCAUAGAUGGGGGUAGCUACAUGGUGGAUGAAAAGAGGUAUGCAGGGGUUGUGAUGAUUUCUCCUGAGCAGGAACUCUAAAAAGCGGCCCUGCCACACAUCUCUAGGAACAACAGGUAUGUCUUUGCUACUCUCCAUAUACACAGGGCUAUUUAUAAAGAAAGGGGCCUAUUAACAGCAGAAAAAAAAAAUUAAAAACAAAGAAAAAAUACUGGCUCUCCUCCAGACUAUUUGGGACCUGAAAGAGGUGGCCAUUAUGCAUUGCCCAGGACACCAAAAAGGGACUGAUCUGGUUUCAAAAGGAAAGCAAUUAGCAGAUCAAACAGCAAAGCAAGCAGCCAGGAAAAUGACUCAAAAACUGGUUACACUCCUGGCUCCAGCCCUACCAGAAAAACCAGAUUAUUUAGAGGAAGAUUUAAAAUAUUUACAAAAAUGGACUAAAUUAGACUAUAAAGGGGACUGAGCUAAGACCAGGACAAAAAAGUUAAUUCUUCCUCGAAGACUUAAAAAAAAAAAAAAAUUAGUAAACCAAAUACAUCAGGGUACUCAUUUAGGGACACGGAAACUUAAAAAACUAAUGGGCAAGCAAUUUCAGGUAUCUAAAUUAGGGCAUAUGGCUCAGGAUAUAGUUAAUAGAUGUGCUCAAUGUCAGGCAGUAAAAGUGGAAAAACUAGGAUGGAAGAAAAAAAGAGAAAGAGGUAAAAAAACCUCUGAAAUAAAAUGUUAGUUUUUGUAGAUACCUCUUCAGACUGAGUAAAAACUUUUUCUGCCAAGCAUGGAACGGCAGAAAUAGUAGCCAAAAACUACUAAAAAAGUAAUUCCUAGGUUUGGGUUGCCUCUCAUGAUCGGGUCAGACAAUGGCCCAGCAUUUGUGAGUUCAGUCUCAUGGGCAUUGGCCAAGGCCGUGGGCACUAAUUGAAAACUACACUGUGCCUACUGGCCCCAGAGUCCCGGACAGGUAGAGAGAAUGAGCCAGACUCUUAAAGAGACCUUGACAGAGCUAAUUCUGAAAACUGGCGGUGGAUGGAUGGAUCUCCUUCCCUUCACCCUCAUUAGGGCGCGAUGUGCACCCUACUUUAACAAGGUUACCCCAUUUAAAAUAAUGUUCAGGAGACCCCCUCCACUCUGCUCAUCGCUACAAAAGGUUGCCCUAAUAAAAAUGACUGAUCAGUCUGUAUUCCAGUCACUGCAGGCACUACAGUCUGUCUUAAAAAGAGCCCACACAGGGAUCUGAACUGCCUACAAUGAGAUGGAAAUAGAGGUAAAACCACAUCCUUACCAACCCAAAGACUUGGUUUGGAUACGCCGCCAUCGAAUGAAAACCUUGAAGUCUCAUUGGAAGGGACCAUUUCCUGUCAUCCUAUAGAGGACCGAAGGAUUCCAACAUCUUACUGCAGGAAUAAAAUGGACAAAACCUGCUGUUCCCAUCCUAAUUCCAGCACUAAUUGAUUCUUUAAAAAGUCAAAGAAUUGACUAAUCUCCAAAGAAAAGGGGGGGAUGUUGGGGUCAAUUCCAUGUUAAAACAUGUUAAACUUAUUCUCUGAUUCUCCCAGGGCCUGCCUGGGCCUACUUAGCCAUAGUGACUCCAUGUUGCCUAGGUAGACAUUUUGUUGUUUAAUAAAUGCCUCAACAGUUAUUGAUAUCGGUUCCAGGUAACUGUUGCUAAAACAUACACUUAAAACAAGGCCAUUUUGUUGUUUAAUAAAUGCCUCAACAGUUACUAGUAUCGGUUCCAGGUAACCGUUACUAAAACACACAGGUAGGAGACAUCCAAUCAGCCCAAACCACAUAUGCAGAUGUCUGUGAUUGUGCCCUAUAAAAACUAGCCUGUAAGACCAAGGGGUGUCGCUCUCUUUGGAGGCGGCCCUGGCCGGUCAGUCUGACUUCUAAUGCUUGGCAUAGAAUAAAGGUUUAUAUAACUUUCA